rnacentral:siRNA from 1 species
UCAGUGUCUUUCUCAUCUGUUGAC